rnacentral:rRNA from 2 species
UCGAGAAUCUUCGUCAAUGGGCGAAAGCCUGAACGAGCGACGCCGCGUGCGGGAUGAAGGCCUUCGGGUUGUAAACCGCUGUCAGUGGGGAGGAAAUGCUGGAGGGUUCUCCCUUCAGUUUGACCUAUCCGCAGAGGAAGUACGGGCUAAGUUCGUGCCAGCAGCCGCGGUAACACGAACCGUACAAACGUUAUUCGGAAUUACUGGGCUUAAAGGGUGCGUAGGCGGCUCAGAAAGUUGGGUGUGAAAGCCCUCGGCUUAACCGAGGAAUAGCGCCCAAAACUACUGGGCUUGAGGAAGGCAGAGGUGAGCGGAACUACGGGUGGAGCGGUGAAAUGCAUUGAUAUCCGUAGGAACACCAGGGGCGAAAGCGGCUCACUGGGUCUUUUCUGACGCUGAGGCACGAAAGCCAGGGGAGCGAACGGG